rnacentral:rRNA from 1 species
CAGCCGCGGUAAUUCCAGCUCCAAUAGCGUAUAUUAAAGUUGCUGCAGUUAAAAAGCUCGUAGUUGAAUUUCGGGANNAAUAUGUCGGUCGUGCCUCGGUACGUACUGGCUUAUUGGUUUCUCCUUUCUGAAGAACCAUGAUGUCAUUUAUUUGGUGUCGUGGGGAAUCAGGACUGUUACUUUGAAAAAAUUAGAGUGUUUAAAGCAGGCUCACGCUUGAAUACAUUAGCAUGGAAUAAUGAAAUAGGACGUUUGAUUCUAUUUUGUUGGUUUCUAGGAUCGACGUAAUGAUUAAUAGGGAUAGUUGGGGGCAUUAGUAUUCAAUUGUCAGAGGUGAAAUUCUUGGAUUUAUUGAAGACUAACUACUGCGAAAGCAUUUGCCAAGGAUGUUUUCAUUAAUCAAGAACGAAAGUUAGGGGAUCGAAGACGAUCAGAUACCGUCGUAGUCUUAACCAUAAACUAUGCCGACUAGGGAUCGGAUGAUGUUAAUUUUUUAAUGACU